GAUGAACGCUGGCGGCGUGCCUAAUACAUGCAAGUCGAGCGAACAGACGAGGAGCUUGCUCCUCUGACGUUAGCGGCGGACGGGUGAGUAACACGUGGAUAACCUACCUAUAAGACUGGGAUAACUUCGGGAAACCGGAGCUUAUACCGGAUAAUAUAUUGAACCGCAUGGUUCAAUAGUGAAAGACGGUUUUGCUGUCACUUAUAGAUGGAUCCGCGCCGCAUUAGCUAGUUGGUAAGGUAACGGCUUACCAAGGCAACGAUGCGUAGCCGACCUGAGAGGGUGAUCGGCCACACUGGAGCUGAGACACGGUCCAGACUCCUACGGGAGGCAGCAGUAGGGAAUCGUCCGCAAUGGGCGAAAACCUGGCGGAGCAACGCCACGUGAGUGAUGAAGAUCUUCGGAUCGUAAAACUCUGUUAUUAGGGAAGAACAAAUGUGUAAGUAGCUAUGCACGUCUUGACGGUACCUAAUCAGAAAGCCACGGCUAACUACGUG
rnacentral:rRNA from 1 species